rnacentral:rRNA from 1 species
UACGGGGGGAGCAAGCGUUGUUCGGAUUUACUGGGCGUAAAGGGCGUGUAGGCGGCCACCGCAAGUCGACUGUGAAAUCUCCGGGCUUAACUCGGAAAGGUCAGCCGAUACUGCGGGGCUAGAGUGCAGAAGGGGCAACUGGAAUUCUCGGUGUAGCGGUGAAAUGCGUAGAUAUCGAGAGGAACACCUGCGGCGAAGGCGGGUUGCUGGGCUGACACUGACGCUGAGACGCGAAAGCUAGGGGAGCGAACGGG